UCGCACAGCUGUUUCGCAUUUUAGGCGUUUCGUGUUUCGCGUUUCGCUUUCGCAGUUUAGGGACGCCCCUUUCUUCGUAGUUUUCCUUAUGUUUUUGGAAUAAAUUCAACACCAUAUCAAAUAUUGAGUACUACCUGACAGGCUAACAACGUCUCGGCUUUCGUCACCUGACUGAAACUGUUUCCUAUCUGUCUGAUCCUUCCUGCUAUGAAAUUACUAAUCAGACAUUAGAAGGAGAUACUGGAUUCAUAUUACGCACCUGCUUCAGCGAAUCGCUGUCACACUGUGUUGUUUUUCCUGAUUACUUGAAAGCAACAUUGCAUUAAAAGA